rnacentral:rRNA from 1 species
GUAGGUGGCAAGCGUUGUCCGGAAUUAUUGGGCGUAAAGCGCGCGCAGGCGGUCCUUUAAGUCUGAUGUGAAAGCCCACGGCUCAACCGUGGAGGGUCAUUGGAAACUGGGGGACUUGAGUACAGAAGAGGAAAGCGGAAUUCCACGUGUAGCGGUGAAAUGCGUAGAGAUGUGGAGGAACACCAGUGGCGAAGGCGGCUUUCUGGUCUGUAACUGACGCUGAGGCGCGAAAGCGUGGGGAGCAAACAGGGAUUAGAUACCCUGGUAGUCCACGCCGUAAACGAUGAGUGCUAAGCGUUAGGGGGUUUCCGCCCCCUUAGUGCUGCAGCUAACGCAUUAAGCACUCCGCCUGGGGAUACGGCCGCAAGGCUG